UACGUAGGGGGCAAGCGUUGUCCGGAUUUAUUGGGCGUAAAGAGCGUGUAGGCGGCUUGGUAGGUCUCGCGUCAAAACCUGAGGCUCAACCUCAGUUCGCGUGGGAAACCACCUAGCUAGAGUCCGGAAGAGGAGAGUGGAAUUCCUGGUGUAGCGGUGAAAUGCGCAGAUAUCAGGAAGAACACCCAUGGCGAAGGCAGGCUCUCUGGGACGGUACUGACGCUGAGACGCGAAAGCGUGGGGAGCGAACAGG
rnacentral:rRNA from 1 species